GGAAAAGAAACCAACAGGGAUUGCCUCAGUAACGGCGAGUGAAGCGGCAAAAGCUCAAAUUUGAAAUCUAGCACCUUCGGUGUUCGAGUUGUAAUUUGAAGAUGGUAACCUUGGGUUUGGCUCUUGUCUAUGUUCCUUGGAACAGGACGUCAUAGAGGGUGAGAAUCCCGUCUGAUGAGAUGCCCAUUCCUAUGUAAGGUGCUAUCGAAGAGUCGAGUUGUUUGGGAAUGCAGCUCUAAGUGGGUGGUAAAUUCCAUCUAAAGCUAAAUAUUGGCGAGAGACCGAUAGCGAACAAGUACAGUGAUGGAAAGAUGAAAAGAACUUUGAAAAGAGAGUGAAAAAGUACGUGAAAUUGUUGAAAGGGAAGGGCAUUAGAUCAGACUUGGUGUUUUACGAUUAUCUUCUCUUCUUGAGUUGUGCACUCGUAUUUCACUGGGCCAGCAUCGAUUCGGAUGGCAAGAUAAUGGCAGUUGAAUGUGGCUUCACUUCGGUGGAGUGUUAUAGCUUCUGCUGAUAUUGCCUGUCUGGAUCGAGGGCUGCGUCUUUUGACUAGGAUGCUGGCGUAAUGAUCUAAUGCCGCCC
rnacentral:rRNA from 1 species